rnacentral:rRNA from 1 species
CAGAAAUUGGGCAAUGGGCGAAGCCUGACCCAGCGACACCGCGUGGGGGAAGAAGACCUUCGGGUUGUAAACUCCUUUUAUUGGGGAAGAAUAAUGACGGUACCCAAUGAAUAAGCUCCGGCUAACUCCGUGCCAGCAGCCGCGGUAAGACGGAGGGAGCAAGCGUUGUUCGGAUUUACUGGGCGUAAAGGGCGUAUAGGCGGGCUGGCAAGUCAGGUGUGAAAUCCCCCGGCUCAACCGGGGAUCUGCACUUGAUACUGCUGGUCUUGAGUACGGAAGAGGGAAGCGGAAUUCCUGGUGUAGCGGUGAAAUGUGUAGAUAUCAGGAAGAACACCAGUGGCGAAGGCGGCUUCCUGGUCCGAUACUGACGCUCAAGCGCGAAAGUGUGGGGAGCAAACAGGAUUAGAUACCCUGGUAGUCCACACUGUAAACGAUGGAUACUAGGUGUCGGGGGUAUCGACCCCCCCGGUGCCGAAGCCAACGCAUUAAGUAUCCCGCCUGGGGAGUACGGUCGCAAGGCUGAAACUCAAAAGAAUUGACGGA